CUCAGAUUGAACGCUGGCGGCAUGCCUUACACAUGCAAGUCGAACGGCAGCACGGGGGCAACCUGGUGGCGAGUGGCGAACGGGUGAGUAAUGCAUCGGAACGUGCCAUUGAGUGGGGGAUAACGUAGCGAAAGUUGCGCUAAUACCGCAUAUUCUGUGAGCAGGAAAGCAGGGGACCGCAAGGCCUUGCGCUCUUUGAGCGGCCGAUGUCAGAUUAGCUAGUUGGUGAGGUAACGGCUUACCAAGGCGACGAUCUGUAGCGGGUCUGAGAGGAUGAUCCGCCACACUGGAACUGAGACACGGUCCAGACUCCUACGGGAGGCAGCAGUGGGGAAUUUUGGACAAUGGGCGCAAGCCUGAUCCAGCCAUGCCGCGUGAGUGAAGAAGGCCUUCGGGUUGUAAAGCUCUUUCGGCCGGGAAGAAAUCGCAUGGGUUAAUACCCUGUGUGGAUGACGGUACCGGAAUAAGAAGCACCGGCUAACUACGUG
rnacentral:rRNA from 1 species